rnacentral:rRNA from 1 species
GACGAACGCUGGCGGCGUGCUUAACACAUGCAAGUCGAACGGAAAGGCCCUGCUUUUGUGGGGUGCUCGAGUGGCGAACGGGUGAGUAACACGUGAGUAACCUGCCCUUGACUUUGGGAUAACUUCAGGAAACUGGGGCUAAUACCGGAUAGGAGCUCCUGCUGCAUGGUGGGGGUUGGAAAGUUUCGGCGGUUGGGGAUGGACUCGCGGCUUAUCAGCUUGUUGGUGGGGUAGUGGCUUACCAAGGCUUUGACGGGUAGCCGGCCUGAGAGGGUGACCGGCCACAUUGGGACUGAGAUACGGCCCAGACUCCUACGGGAGGCAGCAGUGGGGAAUAUUGCACAAUGGGCGGAAGCCUGAUGCAGCAACGCCGCGUGCGGGAUGACGGCCUUCGGGUUGUAAACCGCUUUCGCCUGUGACGAAGCGUGAGUGACGGUAAUGGGUAAAGAAGCACCGGCUAACUACGUGCCAGCAGCCGCGGUGAUACGUAGGGUGCGAGCGUUGUCCGGAUUUAUUGGGCGUAAAGGGCUCGUAGGUGGUUGAUCGCGUCGGAAGUGUAAUCUUGGGGCUUAACCCUGAGCGUGCUUUCGAUACGGGUUGACUUGAGGAAGGUAGGGGAGAAUGGAAUUCCUGGUGGAGCGGUGGAAUGCGCAGAUAUCAGGAGGAACACCAGUGGCGAAGGCGGUUCUCUGGGCCUUUCCUGACGCUGAGGAGCGAAAGCGUGGGGAGCGAACAGGCUUAGAUACCCUGGUAGUCCACGCUGUAAACGGUGGGUACUAGGUGUGGGGUCCAUUCCACGGGUUCCGUGCCGUAGCUAACGCUUUAAGUACCCCGCCUGGGGAGUACGGCCGCAAGGCUAAAACUCAAAGGAAUUGACGGGGCCCCGCACAAGCGGCGGAGCAUGCGGAUUAAUUCGAUGCAACGCGUAGAACCUUACCUGGGUUUGACAUGGAUCGGGAGUGCUCAGAGAUGGGUGUGCCUCUUUUGGGGUCGGUUCACAGGUGGUGCAUGCCUGUCGUCAGCUCGUGUCGUGAGAUGUUGGGUUAAGUCCCGCAACGAGCGCAACCCUUGUUCACUGUUGCCAGCACGUUAUGGUGGGGACUCAGUGGAGACCGCCGGGGUCAACUCGGAGGAAGGUGGGGAUGACGUCAGGUCAUCAUGCCCCUUAUGUCCAGGGCUUCACGCAUGCUACAAUGGCUGGUACAGAGAGUGGCGAGCCUGUGAGGGUGAGCGAAUCUCGGAAAGCCGGUCUCAGUUCGGAUUGGGGUCUGCAACUCGACCUCAUGAAGUCGGAGUCGCUAGUAAUCGCAGAUCAGCAACGCUGCGGUGAAUACGUUCCCGGG